AUUGAACGCUGGCGGCAUGCUUUACACAUGCAAGUCGAACGGCAGCACGGGUGCUUGCACCUGGUGGCGAGUGGCGAACGGGUGAGUAAUGUAUCGGAACGUACCCGGCAAUGGGGGAUAACGUAGCGAAAGUUACGCUAAUACCGCAUAUGCCCUGAGGGGGAAAGUGGGGGAUCGCAAGACCUCACGUUGUCGGAGCGGCCGAUAUCAGAUUAGCUAGUUGGUGGGGUAAAGGCCUACCAAGGCGACGAUCUGUAGCUGGCCUGAGAGGACGACCAGCCACACUGGGACUGAGACACGGCCCAGACUCCGACGGGAGGCAGCAGUGGGGAAUUUUGGACGAUGGGGGCAACCCUGAUCCAGCCAUGCCGCGUGAGUGAAGAAGGCCUUCGGGUUGUAAAGCUCUUUCGGACAGAAAGAAAUCGCCACUUCUAAUAAAGGUGGUGGAUGACGGUACUGUAAGAAGAAGCACCGGCUAACUACGUGCCAGCCGCCGCCGUAA
rnacentral:rRNA from 1 species